rnacentral:rRNA from 1 species
AGCACCUGCCGCGUGUGUGAUGAAGGCUUUAGGGUCGUAAAGCACUGUUGUAUGGGAAGAAAUGCUAGAAUAGGGAAUGAUUCUAGUUCGACGGUACCAUACCAAAAAGGGACGGCUAAAUACGUGCCAGCAGCCGCGGUAAUACGUAUGUCCCGAGCGUUAUCCGGAUUUAUUGGGCGUAAAGCGAGCGCAGACGGUUGAUUAAGUCUGAUGUGAAAGCCCGGAGCUCAACUCCGGAAUGGCAUUGGAAACUGGUUAACUUGAGUGUUGUAGAGGUAAGUGGAACUCCAUGUGUAGCGGUGGAAUGCGUAGAUAUAUGGAAGAA